AUUGAACGCUGGCGGCAUGCUUUACACAUGCAAGUCGAACGGCAGCGCGGGCUUCGGCCUGGCGGCGAGUGGCGAACGGGUGAGUAAUACAUCGGAACGUGCCCAGUAGUGGGGGAUAGCUCGGCGAAAGCCGGAUUAAUACCGCAUACGACCUGAGGGUGAAAGCGGGGGAUCUUCGGACCUCGCGCUAUUGGAGCGGCCGAUGGCAGAUUAGCUAGUUGGUGGGGUAAAGGCCUACCAAGGCGACGAUCUGUAGCUUGUCUGAGAGGACGACCAGCCACACUGGGACUGAGACACGGCCCAGACUCCUACGGGAGGCAGCAGUGGGGAAUUUUGGACAAUGGGCGAAAGCCUGAUCCAGCAAUGCCGCGUGUGUGAUGAAGGCCUUCGGGUUGUAAAGCACUUUUGGCGGGAACGAAAAGGACUGUGCCAAUACCACGGUUCGAUGACGGUACCCGCAGAAUAAGCACCGGCUAACUACGUG
rnacentral:rRNA from 1 species